rnacentral:tRNA from 1 species
UUAAUAAGCUUUUAUAGCAAUUGUUUUGAAAACAAUAGAUAGAAAAUAAUUAAUUCUAU